rnacentral:miRNA from 1 species
AGCUCAAGCACAAAUUCGAUC